rnacentral:rRNA from 1 species
AUAGGCCCCGGGGAGUCGUCAACCAGGCUUUGAUCCGGGGGUGUCCGAAUGGGGAAACCCGGCAGUCGUCAUGGGCUGUCACCCUUGCCUGAACACAUAGGGCAAGUGGAGGGAACGCGGGGAAGUGAAACAUCUCAGUACCCGCAGGAAGAGAAAACAACCGUGAUUCCGGGAGUAGUGGCGAGCGAAACCGGAUGAGGCCAAACCGUAUGCGUGUGAGACCCGGCAGGGGUUGCGCAUGCGGGGUUGUGGGAUCUCUCUUCUGUCGUCUGCCGGCGGCAGGACGAGUCAGAAACCGUUGAUGUAGGCGAAGGACAUGCGAAAGGUCCGGCGUAGAGGGUAAGACCCCCGUAGUCGAAACGUCAGCGGCUCGUUUGAGAGACACCCAAGUAGCACGGGGCCCGAGAAAUCCCGUGUGAAUCUGGCGGGACCACCCGCUAAGCCUAAAUAUUCCCUGGUGACCGAUAGCGGAUAGUACCGUGAGGGAAUGGUGAAAAGUACCGCGGGAGCGGAGUGAAAUAGUACCUGAAACCGUGUGCCUACAAGCCGUGGGAGCGUCGGGUAGGAACUUGUUCCUACCUCGUGACUGCGUGCCUUUUGAAGAAUGAGCCUGCGAGUUUGCGGUGUGUUGCGAGGUUAACCCGGGUGGGGUAGCCGUAGCGAAAGCGAGUCCGAACAGGGCGAUCUGAGUAGCACGCUCAAGACCCGAAGCGGAGUGAUCUAGCCAUGGGCAGGUUGAAGCGGAGGUAAGACUUCGUGGAGGACCGAACCCACCAGGGUUGAAAACCUGGGGGAUGACCUGUGGUUAGGGGUGAAAGGCCAAUCAAACUCCGUGAUAGCUGGUUCUCCCCGAAAUGCAUUUAGGUGCAGCGUCGUGUGUUUCUUGCCGGAGGUAGAGCACUGGAUAGGCGAUGGGCCCUACCGGGUUACUGACCUUAGCCAAACUCCGAAUGCCGGUAAGUGAGAGCGCGGCAGUGAGACUGUGGGGGAUAAGCUCCAUGGUCGAGAGGGAAACAGCCCAGAGCAUCGACUAAGGCCCCUAAGCGUACGCUAAGUGGGAAAGGAUGUGGAGUCGCAGAGACAACCAGGAGGUUGGCUUAGAAGCAGCCACCCUUGAAAGAGUGCGUAAUAGCUCACUGGUCUAGUGAUUCCGCGCCGACAAUGUAGCGGGGCUCAAGCGUACCGCCGAAGUCGUGUCAUUGCAGCAAUAGCCCCAACGCGUGCUGUGAUGGGUAGGGGAGCGUCGUGUGCCGGGUGAAGCAGCGCCGGAAGGCAGUUGUGGACGGUUCACGAGUGAGAAUGCAGGCAUGAGUAGCGAUUCACACGUGAGAAACGUGUGCGCCGAUUGACUAAGGGUUCCUGGGUCAAGCUGAUCUGCCCAGGGUAAGUCGGGACCUAAGGCGAGGCCGACAGGCGUAGUCGAUGGAUAACCGGUUGAUAUUCCGGUACCCGCUGUGAAGCGUCAAACAUCGAACCCAUUGAUGCUAAGGCCGUGAAGCCGCCCUGAUCUCUUCGGAGUUGAGGGGAGUGGUGGAGCCGCUGAUCCAAGGUGGUAGUAGGUGAGUGAUGGGGUGACGCAGGAAGGUAGUCCAGCCCGGGCGGUGGUUGUCCCGGGGUAAGGGUGUAGGCCGCAAGGUAGGCAAUUCCCCCUUGCAUACGGGUGAGACCUGAUGCCGAGCCGAUUGUGGUGAAGUGGAUGAUCCUAUGCUGUCGAGAAAAGCCUCUAGCGAGUUUCAUGGCGGCCCGUACCCUAAACCGACUCAGGUGGUCAGGUAGAGAAUACCGAGGCGUUCGGGUGAACUAUGGUUAAGGAACUCGGCAAAAUGCCCCCGUAACUUCGGGAGAAGGGGGGCCACACCUGGUGAUCGAAUUUACUUCGUGAGCUGGGGGUGGCCGCAGAGACCAGCGAGAAGCGACUGUUUACUAAAAACACAGGUCCGUGCGAAGCCGUAAGGCGAUGUAUACGGACUGACGCCUGCCCGGUGCUGGAACGUUAAGGGGACCGGUUAGCUCCAUUUCGGUGGGGCGAAGCUGAGAACUUAAGCGCCAGUAAACGGCGGUGGUAACUAUAACCAUCCUAAGGUAGCGAAAUUCCUUGUCGGGUAAGUUCCGACCUGCACGAAUGGCGUAACGACUUCUCGACUGUCUCAACCAUAGGCCCGGUGAAAUUGCACUACGAGUAAAGAUGCUCGUUUCGCGCAGCAGGACGGAAAGACCCCGGGACCUUUACUACAGUUUGAUAUUGGUGUUCGGUUCGGCUUGUGUAGGAUAGCUGGGAGACUGUGAAGCUUGGACGCCAGUUCAGGUGGAGUCGUCGUUGAAAUACCAGUCUGGUCGUGCUGGAUGUCUAACCUGGGUCCGUGAUCCGGAUCAGGGACAGUGUCUGAUGGGUAGUUUAACUGGGGCGGUUGCCUCCUAAAGGGUAACGGAGGCGCCCAAAGGUUCCCUCAGCCUGGUUGGCAAUCAGGUGUUGAGUGUAAGUGCACAAGGGAGCUUGACUGUGAGACCGACGGGUCGAGCAGGGACGAAAGUCGGGACUAGUGAUCCGGCGGUGGCUUGUGGAAGCGCCGUCGCUCAACGGAUAAAAGGUACCCCGGGGAUAACAGGCUGAUCUUCCCCAAGAGUCCAUAUCGACGGGAUGGUUUGGCACCUCGAUGUCGGCUCGUCGCAUCCUGGGGCUGGAGUCGGUCCCAAGGGUUGGGCUGUUCGCCCAUUAAAGCGGUACGCGAGCUGGGUUUAGAACGUCGUGAGACAGUUCGGUCCCUAUCCGCUGUGCGC